UGGGGAAUAUUGCACAAUGGGCGAAAGCCUGAUGCAGCAACGCCGCGUGAGUGAUGAAGGCCUUCGGGUUGUAAAGCUCUGUCUUCUGGGACGAUAAUGACGGUACCAGAGGAGGAAGCCACGGCUAACUACGUGCCAGCAGCCGCGGUAAUACGUAGGUGGCAAGCGUUGUCCGGAUUUACUGGGCGUAAAGGAUGCGUAGGCGGAUACUUAAGUCAGAUGUGAAAAUCCCGGGCUUAACUUGGGAACUGCAUUUGAAACUGGGUAUCUAGAGUGCGGGAGAGGAAAGUGGAAUUCCUAGUGUAGCGGUGAAAUGCGUAGAUAUCAAGAGGAACACCUGAGGCGAAGGCGGGUUGCUGGGCCGACACUGACGCUGAUGCGCGAAAGCCAGGGGAGCAAACG
rnacentral:rRNA from 1 species